rnacentral:lncRNA from 1 species
CAGGAAAAUUCUCAUACAAUCUGAUAAUCUCUCAAGGAGCAAGGAAAUGUAGGAGGGAUAAAAAAGGAUCUUCCUUCUUGAUUGGAGCACCACCCGUUGGGCUGGGCCGGACAUUGCUGUUAGAUGCUUUGACCCAUCAGCCUAUCGUGCAGCGAGUAGAGAAAGAUUAACUUCAAGCCUGGUUAAUCAUGGUGGGCUACGAUCCU